CCUACGGGAGGCAGCAGUGGGGAAUAUUGGACAAUGGGGGAAACCCUGAUCCAGCGACGCCGCGUGAGUGAAGAAGGAUUUCGGUACGUAAAGCUCUAUCUGCAGGGAAGAAAAUGACGGUACCUGACUCAGAAGCCACGGCUCACUACGUGACAGCAGCCGCGGUCAUACGUAGGGUGCCAGCGUUAUCCGGAUUUACUGGGUGUAAAGGGAGCGUAGUCGGCAGCGCAGGUCUGGAGUGAAAUGCCGGGGCCCAACCCCGGAACUGCUCUGGAAACUGUGACGCUGGAGUGCAGGAGAGGUAGGCGGAAUUCCUGGUGUAGCGGUGAAAUGCGUAGAUAUCAGGAGGAACACCGGCGGCGAAGGCGGCUUACUGGACUGUAACUGACGUUGAGGCUCGAAGGCGUGGGGAGCAAACAGGAUUAGAUACCCCGGUAGUC
rnacentral:rRNA from 1 species